CCCCGCCCUCUUACGUCAAACUCCGGCGCGGAUGACGCAUGCGCCCCGCCCCUCCAGUCAGCGUGGGCUCUCAGAUUCCUGCGUCACGCACAAUAAGACUCGCCCCUCCCCUCCUGGGACUCCUAGACGCUCUUUGUUUGGGGAUGUAAGUUACCAGCUACUGCCCCAGGGCCAUGCCCACCUGUCUGAUGCCACACUCCCCACCAUGAUGGUUAUGGACUCAUCUUCUGAAACUAAGACUUCAAUAAACCCUUCUAUAAGUU